CAGCAGCCGCGGGAAUACGUAGGUGGCAAGCGUUGUCCGGAAUUAUUGGGCGUAAGGGGCUCGCAGGCGGUUUCUUAAGUCUGAUGUGAAAGCCCCCGGCUCAACCUGGGAGGGUCAUUGGAAACUGGGAAACUUGAGUGCAGAAGAGGAGAGUGGAAUUCCACGUGCAGCGGUGAAAUGCGUAGAGAUGUGGAGGAACACCGGUGGCGAAGGCGGCGACCUGGUCCUUGACUGACGCUGAGGCGCGAAAGCGUGGGGAGCAAACAGGAUUAGAUACCCCUGUAGUCCCUGUCUCUUAUAA
rnacentral:rRNA from 1 species